GUAAAAUAUGUUUCUUUUAAAUUGACUGUGUCAAUCUUCAAGUUUGUUUGUUAAAUUGUUGUUUAUUAUUCUUCAUAGGUUAUCAUGAACAUUUGUUUUGUAAAAAUCUUGAAGAACAUGUACUAUGCUUGAAAUUGUACAAAUAACAUAUUAUAUAAGCUUUAAUGUAUAGUUUGAAACUUUGCACACAUUUUAGUGAACUAUUUCUAGAUGAAAUUUUAAAGACACUAUAUGACAUGAUAUUUAUUUUCCAAAUGUAAUUGAUUUUUCAUACAUUUUAUUGGCUGGAAAUAUAUUUAAAUCCUUGAAAAGAUUGAAGAGUUAGAUUUUGAUUUUUCAUGAAGGGGUUUACAAUGAGCUUUUUUGGCAACAAAAUAUGAUAUUUGAGAAAGUUAAUGGCCAUAUGCAUCAGUUUGAUACUUGGUUGAGUGAUGACAGGUUCAUAAAUUUUUAUCAUCUUUUCAUUUUACAAAUGAAACUGUUUUAUAUAACCCUUUCUUGUGAGGGUUAUUUUUGUUUUUCUACUUGUUGUUUUAUACUAUGUUGUUGUAAAUAAAGAAUAUUUUUAAAUUUUGAGUUUAAUCCAUUAUUAAUUGUUGAGAACACUUAUGCUUUAGAUCCAAAUGGAAAAAAAUAGGUGAAUAGCCCUAGGGACACUGUAGAGACAUUCAAACUUGUAAGUCAAAAAAUACGCUGACAUCCCAAUUACAAAAAGAGAAAAAGACCAAAACACAAACAACAGUAUACAAAACACAACAAAUUAAAGUUUGAGCAACACAUAACACACCAAAAAAGGGAGGAAACCAAGUUCAAUGGCAA
rnacentral:lncRNA from 1 species